rnacentral:rRNA from 1 species
UGGGGAAUAUUGGACAAUGGGCGCAAGCCUGGUCCAGCCAUGCCGCGUGGGUGAAGAAGGCCUUCGGGUUGUAAAGCCCUUUUGUUGGGAAAGAAAAGCAGUCGGUUAAUACCCGAUUGUCCUGACGGUACUCAAAGAAUAAGCACCGGCUAACUUCGUGCCAGCAGCCGCGGUAAUACGAAGGGUGCAAGCGUUACUCGGAAUUACUGGGCGUAAAGCGUGCGUAGGUGGUGGUUUAAGUCUGUUGUGAAAGCACUGGGCUCAACCGGGGAAUUGCAGUGGAUACUGGGUCACUAGAGUGUGGUAGAGGGUAGCGGAAUUCCCGGUGUAGCAGUGAAAUGCGUAGAGAUCGGGAGGAACAUCCGUGGCGAAGGCGGCUACCUGGACCAACACUGACACUGAGGCACGAAAGCGUGGGGAGCAAAC